UUUCCCUACGGGGCGCAGCAGUUAGGAAUAUUCGUCAAUGGGGGAAACCCUGAACGAGCAAUGCCGCGUGAACGAUGAAGGCCCUCUGGGUUGUAAAGUUCUGUUGUUAUGGAAGAACUGUAAGAUUAGGAAAUGAAUCUUACUUGACGGUACAUUUCAAGAAAGCCACGGCUAACUACGUGCCAGCAGCCGCGGUAAUACGUAGGUGGCGAGCGUUAUCCGGAUUUAUUGGGCGUAAAGCGUCCGCAGACGGUUUAUUAAGUAUAUAAUUAAAGCCCGAAGCUUAACUUCGGUUCGUUAUAUAA
rnacentral:rRNA from 1 species